AGAGUUUGAUCAUGGCUCAGGACGAACGCUGGCGGCGUGCUUAACACAUGCAAGUCAAGGAGAAAGGUUCCUUCGGGAAACGAGUAAACUGGCGAACGGGUGAGUAACACGUAGGUAACCUGCCCUAGAGACUGGGAUAACUCCGCGAAAGCGGUGCUAAUACUGGAUAAUGCAGCGGGUCCUUCGGGACAUUGUUGUUAAAACUGGCUUCGGCUAGUACUUUAGGAUGGGCCUGCGCCCGAUUAGCUUGUUGGUAGGGUAACGGCCUACCAAGGCGAUGAUCGGUAGCUGGUCUGAGAGGAUGAUCAGCCACACUGGGAUUGAGAUACGGCCCAGACUCCUACGGGAGGCAGCAGUGGGGAAUUUUGCGCAAUGGGCGAAAGCCUGACGCAGCAACGCCGCGUGACCGAUGAAGCUUCUAGGAGUGUAAAGGUCUGUCGUGAGGGAAGAAAAAUCCGGAUGUAAAUAAUGUUCGGACGUGACGGUACCUCACAAGAAAGCACCGGCUAACUUAGUGCCAGCAGCCGCGGUAAUACUAGGGGUGCUAGCGUUGUCCGGAAUCACUGGGCGUAAAGGGUCCGUAGGCGUUUUGCUAAGUUGAUUGUUAAAUCCAUCGGCUCACCCGAUGAUCUGCAAUCAAAACUGGCAGAAUAGAGUUCGAGAGAGNAAGUGGAAUUCCUGGUGUAGCGG
rnacentral:rRNA from 1 species